rnacentral:lncRNA from 1 species
CCAAGGCUAUAGCCCACCCGUUUUUUGGCCAUUUUUCCGCUGGGGGGUUUUGGCACCUCGACCUUCGGGCGCUUAUUUUUGGGCGCGGCUUUGCCCGUGGCUUAUUUUUGGCACCCCGAGGCCCCUCGCAAAGUCUCGCCGCAUUCCGAGUCCGGCGGACGAACGUCGCCCGCGCCCCCCACCAAGGCUAUAGCCCACCCGUUUUUUGGCCAUUUUUCCGCUAGGGGGUUUUGGCACCACGACCUUCGGGCGCUUAUUUUUGGGCGCGGCUUUGCCCGCGGCUUAUUUUUGGCACCCCGAGGCCCCUCGCAAAGUCUCGCCCCAUUCCGAGUCCGGCGGACGAACUUCGCCCGCGGCCCCCACCAAGGCUAUAGCCCACCCAUUUUUUGGCCAUUUUUCCGCUGGGGGGUUUUGGCACCACGACCUUCGGGCGCUUAUUUCUGGGCGCGGCUUUGCCCGCGGCUUAUUUUUGGCACCCCGAGGCCCCUCGCAAAGUCUCGCCGCAUUCCGAGUCCGGCGGACGAACGUCGCCCGCGCCCCCCACCAAGGCUAUAGCCCACCCGUUUUUUGGCCAUUUUUCCGCUGGGGGGUUUUGGCACCACGACCUUCGGGCGCUUAUUUUUGGGCGCGGCUUUGCCCGCGGCUUAUUUUUGGCACCCCGAGGCCCCUCGCAAAGUCUCGCCGCAUUCCGAGUCCGGCGGACGAACUUCGCCCGCGCCCCCCACCAAGGCUAUAGCCCACCCGUUUUUUGGCCAUUUUUCCGCUGGGGGGUUUUGGCACCACGACCUUCGGGCGCUUAUUUUUGGGCGCGGCUUUGUCCGCGGCUUAUUUUUGGCACCCCGAGGCCCCUCGCAAAGUCUCGCCGCAUUCCGAGUCCGGCGGACGAACUUCGCCCGCGCCCCCCACCAGGCUAUAGCCCACCCGUUUUUUGGCCAUUUUUCCGCUGGGGGGUUUCGGCACCACGACCUUCGGGCGCUUGGUGGGGGGACUUUACCAUUUUUCUCGCCCCAUUUUUUGGCUUUGCCCGCGGCUUAUUUUUGGCACCCCGAGGCCCGUCGCAAAGUCUCGCCGCAUUCCGAGUCCGGCGGACGAACGUCGCCCGCGCCCCCCACCAAGGCUAUAGCCCACCCGUUUUUUGGCCAUUUUUCCGCUGGGGGGUUUUGGCACCUCGACCUUCGGGCGCUUAUUUUUGGGCGCGGCUUUGCCCGUGGCUUAUUUUUGGCACCCCGAGGCCCCUCGCAAAGUCUCGCCGCAUUCCGAGUCCGGCGGACGAACGUCGCCCGCGCCCCCCACCAAGGCUAUAGCCCACCCGUUUUUUGGCCAUUUUUCCGCUAGGGGGUUUUGGCACCACGACCUUCGGGCGCUUAUGUUUGGGCGCGGCUUUGCCCGCGGCUUAUUUUUGGCACCCCGAGGCCCCUCGCAAAGUCUCGCCCCAUUCCGAGUCCGGCGGACGAACUUCGUCCGCGCCCCCCACCAAGGCUAUAGCCCACCCGUUUUUUGGCCAUUUUUCCGCUAGGGGGUUUUGGCACCACGACCUUCGAGCGCUUAUUUUUGGGCGCGGCUUUGCCCGCGGCUUAUUUUCUGCACCCCGAGGCCCCUCGCAAAGUCUCGCCGCAUUCCGAGUCCGGCGGACGAACGUCGCCCGCGCCCCCCACCAAGGCUAUAGCCCACCCGUUUUUUGGCCAUUUUUCCGCUGGGGGGUUUUGGCACCACGACCUUCGGGCGCUUAUUUUUGGGCGCGGCUUUGCCCGCGGCUUAUUUUUGGCACCCCGAGGCCCCUCGCAAAGUCUCGCCGCAUUCCGAGUCCGGCGGACGAACUUCGCCCGCGCCCCCCACCAAGGCUAUAGCCCACCCAUUUUUUGGCCAUUUUUCCGCUGGGGGGUUUUGGCACCACGACCUUCGGGUGCUUAUUUUUGGGCGCGGCUUUGCCCGCGGCUUAUUUUUGGCACCCCGAGGCCCCUCGCAAAGUCUCGCCGCAUUCCGAGUCCGGCGGACGAACUUCGCCCGCGCCCCCCACAAGGCUAUAGCCCACCCGUUUUUUUGGCAUUUUUUCGCUGGGGGGGUUUGGCACCACGACCUUCGGGCGCUUGGUGGGGGGACUUUACCAUUUUUCUCGACCCAUUUUUAGGAUUUGCCCGCGGCUUAUUUUUGGCAGCCCGAGGCCCCUCGCAAAGUCUCGCCGCAUUCCGAGUCCGGCGGACGAACGUCGCCCGCGCCCCCCACCAAGGCUAUAGCCCACCCGUUUUUUGGCCAUUUUUCCGCUAGGGGGUUUUGGCACCACGACCUUCGGGCGCUUAUUUUUGGGCGCGGCUUUGCCCGCGGCUUAUUUUUGGCACCCCGAGGCCCCUCGCAAAGUCUCGCCCCAUUCCGAGUCCGGCGGACGAACUUCGCCCGCGCCCCCCACCAAGGCUAUAGCCCACCCGUUUUUUGGCCAUUUUUCCGCUGGGGGGUUUUGGCACCUCGACCUUCGGGCGCUUAUUUUUGGGCGCGGCUUUGCCCGUGGCUUAUUUUUGGCACCCCGAGGCCCCUCGCAAAGUCUCGCCGCAUUCCGAGUCCGGCGGACGAACGUCGCCCGCGCCCCCCACCAAGGCUAUAGCCCACCCGUUUUUUGGCCAUUUUUCCGCUAGGGGGUUUUGGCACCACGACCUUCGGGCGCUUAUGUUUGGGCGCGGCUUUGCCCGCGGCUUAUUUUUGGCACCCCGAGGCCCCUAGCAAAGUCUCGCCCCAUUCCGAGUCCGGCGGACGAACUUCGUCCGCGCCCCCCACCAAGGCUAUAGCCCACCCGUUUUUUGGCCAUUUUUCCGCUAGGGGGUUUUGGCACCACGACGGUCGAGCGCUUAUUUUUGGGCGCGGCUUUGCCCGCGGCUUAUUUUCUGCACCCCGAGGCCCCUCGCAAAGUCUCGCCGCAUUCCGAGUCCGGCGGACGAACGUCGCCCGCGCCCCCCACCAAGGCUAUAGCCCACCCGUUUUUUGGCCAUUUUUCCGCUGGGGGGUUUUGGCACCACGACCUUCGGGCGCUUAUUUCUGGGCGCGGCUUUGCCCGCGGCUUAUUUUUGGCACCCCGAGGCCCCUCGCAAAGUCUCGCCGCAUUCCGAGUCCGGCGGACGAACUUCGCCCGCGCCCCCCACCAAGGCUAUAGCCCACCCAUUUUUUGGCCAUUUUUCCGCUGGGGGGUUUUGGCACCACGACCUUCGGGUGCUUAUUUUUGGGCGCGGCUUUGCCCGCGGCUUAUUUUUGGCACCCCGAGGCCCCUCGCAAAGUCUCGCCGCAUUCCGAGUCUGGCGGACGAACUUCGCCCGCGCCCCCCACCAAGGCUAUAGCCCACCCGUUUUUUGGCCAUUUUUCCGCUGGGGGGUUUUGGCACCACGACCUUCGGGCGCUUGGUGGGGGGACUUUGCCAUUUUUCUCGCCCCAUUUUUUGGCUUUGCCCGCGGCUUAUUUUUGGCAGCCCGAGGCCCCUCGCAAAGUCUCGCCGCAUUCCGAGUCCGGCGGACGAACGUCGCCCGCGCCCCCCACCAAGGCUAUAGCCCACCCGUUUUUUGGCCAUUUUUCCGCUAGGGGGUUUUGGCACCACGACCUUCGGGCGCUUAUUUUUGGGCGCGGCUUUGCCCGCGGCUUAUUUUUGGCACCCCGAGGCCCCUCGCAAAGUCUCGCCCCAUUCCGAGUCCGGCGGACGAACUUCGCCCGCGCCCCCCACCAAGGCUAUAGCCCACCCGUUUUUUGGCCAUUUU